GACGAACGCUGGCGGUGUGCCUUAUGCAUGCAAGUCGCACGGAUCCGCAAGGAUUAGUGGCAAACGGCUGAAUAACACGUAAGCAACCAACCCUACAGUGGGGGAUAAUCCGCCGAAAGGCGGACUAAUACCGCAUUCGGGCGCCUCUCACAAGAGAGGCGCUGAAAGCCGCAAGGCGCUGUUGGACGGGCUUGCGUCCUAUCAGGUAGUUGGCGGGGUAACGGCCCACCAAGCCGAAGACGGGUAACUGGUCUGAGAGGACGGCCAGUCAGACGGGGACUGAGACACGGCCCCGACUCCUACGGGAGGCAGCAGCAGGGAAUUUUGCGCAAUGGGCGAAAGCCUGACGCAGCGACACCGCGUGA
rnacentral:rRNA from 1 species